rnacentral:rRNA from 1 species
AUUGAACGCUGGCGGCAGGCUUAACACAUGCAAGUCGAGCGGGGUGAUGGUGCUUGCACUAUCACUUAGCGGCGGACGGGUGAGUAAUGCUUAGGAAUCUGCCUAUUAGUGGGGGACAACAUCUCGAAAGGGAUGCUAAUACCGCAUACGUCCGACGGGAGAAAGAAGGGGAUCACUUGUGACCUUGCGCUAAUAGCUGAGCCUAAGUCGGAUUAGCUAGUUGGUGGGGUAAAGGCCUACCAAGGCGACGAUCUGUAGCGGGUCUGAGAGGAUGAUCCGCCACACUGGGACUGAGACACGGCCCAGACUCCUACGGGAGGCAGCAGUGGGGAAUAUUGGACAAUGGGGGGAACCCUGAUCCAGCCAUGCCGCGUGUGUGAAGAAGGCCUUAUGGUUGUAAAGCACUUUAAGCGAGGAGGAGGCUCUUUUGGUUAAUACCCAAGAUGAGUGGACGUUACUCGCAGAAUAAGCACCGGCUAACUCUGUGCCAGCCGCCGCCGUAA